rnacentral:tRNA from 1 species
CCCGCCUUAGCUCAGUCUGGCUGGAGCGGCCGGCUGUAGACUCUAUGGCCGUAACCGGCAGGUCCCCGGUUCAAAUCCGGGAGGCGGGA